CUGCGAGGAGCCGCGCCUUGUGGGAAGCGGGCUUCCGGCUUCGGGUCAGGGUCUGGGCCGAGGCGCGGCUGGCAUCAUGUCCGGCCGCGAGGGUGGCAAGAAGAAGCCCCUGAAGCAGCCCAAGAAGCAGGCCAAGGAGAUGGAUGAGGAAGACAAGGCCUUCAAGCAGAAACAGAAAGAGGAGCAGAAGAAACUCGAGGAGCUGAAAGCGAAGGCCGCGGGGAAGGGGCCCCUCGCCACAGGUGGAAUUAAGAAAUCUGGCAAAAAGUAAGCUGUUUCUUGUUCCUGAGAUGAUGGUGACCCUUGAUUCCAUUCCCAUUCAACAUCUGGAUUUCCUGUCGUAACAUUUCUGCCACCUAUAGGUAGAAUGAAGUUUUGUCUAGGACUCUGAACAUUAAGAACAACCUUUAAAAAAAAAAAUCCUACAGUGGCUCAGUCUCUAGUUUGUCAGCCAUUGUGUCAGCCAUUGCUACCUCAGCUGUAAAUUUCAAGUAAACCCAGCCUAGGUUCCUGCCAGAGUCUGCUCUUUGUUCUACUCUUGCAUUCUGUAUCAUCUUGAAAGUAAACCAACUCAUUUAAAAGGCUG